rnacentral:ncRNA from 1 species
UGUGGGUCCUUCCAUGUUUGCACUAAGUACUAACAACAAAGGAUAAUUUCAGCUAGAAGAUCCGCAAAGCCUUGUCCGGGCUUGACAUGCCGCAAAUCCUCUUAAAAGAGAGGGGUGCCCUUGAGAACAUGGACACAGGUGGUGCAUGGCUAUCGUCAGCUCGCGUUUAGUUGCAACGAGCACAACACUUGUGUUUAGUUGCAACUAUGAGUUUGGAACCUUGAACAGACCGCCGGUGUUAAGCCGGAGGAAGGAGAGGAUGAGGCCAAGUCAUCGUGUCCCUUAUGCCCUGGACGAGACACGUGCUACAAUGGGUAGGACAAAGGGUCACAAUCUCGCGAAGGUAACUCUGAAAACUCAUCCUCAGUUUGGAUUGUAGGCUACAACUCGCCCGCAUGAAGCAGGAAUCGCCGGUCAGCCAUAUGGCAGUGAAUCUGUUCCCAGGCCUUGUACACACCGCCCGUCACACUGUAGGAGCUGCCAUGUUUAAAAUCAUUACCCUUAACCGUAAGGACGAGCUGGAUAAGGCUAGGCUUGCGACUGGAGUGAAGUUGUAAGAAGCUUUUUUAAGGAAGAGCUAAAG